rnacentral:rRNA from 1 species
UACGUAGGGUGCAAGCGUUGUCCGGAAUUAUUGGGCGUAAAGAGCUCGUAGGCGGUUUGUUGCGUCGGCUGUGAAAUCCCGAGGCUCAACCUCGGGUCUGCAGUCGAUACGGGCAGGCUUGAGUUCGGUAGGGGAGGCUGGAAUUCCUGGUGUAGCGGUGAAAUGCGCAGAUAUCAGGAGGAACACCGGUGGCGAAGGCGGGUCUCUGGGCCGAAACUGACGCUGAGGAGCGAAAGCGUGGGGAGCGAACAGG